AUCGAUUAUCUGCUUGUUGGCUAAGAUAGUGUAGUAUCUGUUCUUAUCAGUUUAAUAUCUGAUAUGUCCCCUAUCCGGGAACCAUAUACUGAAUACAUUUUUCAGAACGGGGGACUAUUUUGAAGCUUGCUUCCAUCGCCCUAGGCGUGUGACUGUUAGGUCUGUUUCUGCAGGCUCGGUGCACCUCAC